rnacentral:rRNA from 1 species
UUAGUGGCGGACGGGUGAGUAACGCGUGGGUAACCUGCCCUAUACUGGGGGAUAACAGCUAGAAAUGGCUGCUAAUACCGCAUGAGCGCACAGUCCCGCAUGGGACAGUGUGGAAAACUCCGGUGGUAUAGGAUGGACCCGCGUCCGAUCAGCUGGUUGGUGGGGUAACGGCCCACCAAGGCGACGAUCGGUAGCCGACCUGAGAGGGUGACCGGCCACAUUGGGACUGAGACACGGCCCAAACUCCUACGGGAGGCAGCAG